CUCGUGGUUGGUUAAGAAGUAGGUGGAGCGAAGCAAUGAUUGGCCAGAAUGCCUUAUUUCAGAAAAAAUUGGAUAAGGACGUUUGUAAGAGUUACAUUUAAAGAAAAUUCUUCUCGAUUUUUGAUAUGUGUUUAGUUGUGGUAGCAUUUA
ensembl:ncRNA C29E6.17 ncRNA